CGGGGUAUAGGCUAACGGUAAACGGCUUGCUUUGGGAGCAAGCAUUGUAGGUUCGACUCCUGCUACCCCGACCA
rnacentral:tRNA from 1 species